GGAAAACUUCAGACUAGACUUUGCUGUGAGUAGGGAGCAGAUUAACGAGAAAGGUGAAAAGAUGUACAUCCAAACCAGAAUGGCUGAAUAUGCUGAAGAACUAUGGACAUUACUCAAAAAAGACAGCACCUUUGUGUACAUGUGUGGACUCAAAGGCAUGGAGCAGGGAAUCGAUGACAUUAUGACUUCACUUGCUGAAAGAGAUGGUAUUAACUGGGCAAAUUACAAAAAGCAGUUGAAGAAGGCAGAGCAAUGGAAU
rnacentral:misc_RNA from 1 species